rfam:Schistosoma haematobium scaffold114_26, whole genome shotgun sequence.
GCGCUGCUGGGGAGUCCCAGAACAGGACGGAACGGCCGUCCAGUGC